AACAUGUUUGUUUUAUUAAUUGUUAAUUUGAGAAUUAUUUUUGGACUUGACUGUUGGACGGUGGGAACACAACAGUAGACAAAACAGGUAGUCAUUUGGGGACGAAAUAUGAAGAUGAGUAAUUUGAUUCACAAUGACAGGUUCAGAAGCAGAGUGGUGGUGUGACCCCAGAGAACAGAUUGGUCAACUCUGCUUGGAGGAGGAGGUCUUUGAGUUGGGUCUUGCAGGAGGAGUAGGAGUCCUUCAUGUGAAGAAUGGAAACAAGUCUUCCAAGCAGAGCCACAGAGGGCUGUUUGUUGUCCAAAAAGCCUUUUCUCCUGAGCUUGAAAGCUUAACUUCGCAGAAGCAGGAAGCCGCCUGUUGCCAAGAGUAAAUGGCUCUCUGCUAUGGCCUGAGAUAGCAGUAGAAGAUGGCCCCUGCACCCACGUGGAAGACCCAGAGGAAGCUCCUGGCUCCUGGCUCCGGAUCGGUGCAGCUCCUGCAAUCUGGGGAGUGAACCAGCGGAUGGAAGACCUUUCUCUGUGUGUCUGCCUCUCUCUGUAACUCUGUCUUUCGAAUAAAUAAAAUAAAUCUUAAAAAAAAAUAAACCUGAACUGGUGA